GUCGUUUUGUUCGUCGCGCUCCGUAUGGGCCAAGCCCAAUGAAACACAGGUAGUCGCGACUCUCGCAGACCCUCCGAGAAAGUCGCAAGCCCUCGCCAGUCCCGCAACGUAGCCGCCGCCAUGCGCAAAGAACGCUCCGAUCCGGCGCGAAACCGAGAGGGGAGUGCGGGCGGCCUUUGGAACCGAGACGCGACGGCGGGCGCCAUGAACGCGAGCGGUGUUGUUAUUGAGCCUUGUGUUAUGUUUGAGGGUUUGGAUGUUGGUAAAUUUGAUUGGGUUUCGAGGACUGGAGGACGUCGCCAGCCUGCACCCCGUGUACUCGCCGCUGCCUUGCACGACUCGAAGAUGCCGCGCCUCUGUACUCAUCCUCCUCCCCAACAUCCCUCUUGUGUGGCAGCGGUAGGUUUUCAUUCCAAGAUGUGUGGCGGCGCGUGAUGUUGAUCUUUAUAGGUGAGCAACCUACAUCGAUGUCCACGGUUCAGAGAGGAGAGGGGUAGAUCCAGCUUGGUAGCUUCGGGGAAAAAAGGGUAUAUAAGGAGUUGUGGCCUUCUCUCUGCAUACAACUCGUGGGCAGCUUCUUCUCUGCAUACAAGAAGUCUCCUCUACUCUGUUUCUGUAGCUGUUCCCUUCUCGAGAUCUUCUUCGAGUUCCUGAGAUCUGGUUGUAAACAGCCAAAAUGGUGAAGAUUUGCUGCAUCGGAGCUGGCUACGUCGGUGGCCCAACAAUGGCUAUCAUUGCCAUCAAGUGCCCAUCAAUUGAGGUUGUUGUCGUCGAUAUCUCCAAGCCUCGCAUUGACGCUUGGAACAGCGACACCCUCCCGAUCUACGAGCCUGGCCUCGAUGAUGUUGUCAAGGCCUGCAGGGGUAAGAACCUCUUCUUCAGCACCGAUGUCGAGAAGCACGUCGCCGAGGCCGACAUCAUCUUCGUCUCGGUGAACACUCCCACCAAGACCCGUGGUCUUGGAGCCGGCAAGGCUGCGGACCUCACCUACUGGGAAAGUGCUGCCUGUAUGAUCGCCGAUGUCUCCAAGUCUGACAAGAUCGUUGUCGAGAAGUCCACCGUCCCUGUGAAGACCGCAGAGGCCAUUGCUUCUGGUGUUCGUUGCGCAUCCACUCACCCCUGAAACCAUGAAUCCCGCUGCCCCCAAACCAUGUCCUGGACACUACCCAAACCCUAUCCCGCACACCACUCUGGUGUUCAUCGUCAGACUGCACCGGUGGCCUCACCAAUUUCACCCUGUCCUCUUUUAUGUUUAUCCUUGCCCAACAACGGCAAGAUCUCUGUCCUGCAAAUUGCAAUGGUGGCCACACAUGUUGCUUUCCACAAAUCACUCACUCCCUUCAAACUAUUGAUGCAUCAGCGCUAACCAUCUCUCAUUGUCUCCCUCCCGCAUUCUAUAUAUCUAAUGUUUGUGCUUAUUCUUUUUCCGCCAUUUUGACUUUAUUAGGAUUUAAUACUGAGAGAUUAUGUAAUUUCUCUAUAGACUUCAUAUCACAAGGAUGGGUGAUGAUUGGGAAAGCAUUGUUGUGCUCCCCCGCUCUUUCAAAUUCAGCCAACAAGACAAGUCAGCAUAAUUUGGACAGUUCCCAUUUUAAGCAUGUCAUAUUCAGACAUUGAGUUCAUUUCUCUGUGGUGCAUCCCUGUAUCAUCAUUGGUAUCGUAAUUCCAGGUCCUGAUUGAGUUGUGACUUGAAGAGAACCACUAAUAAAAUGUGCACGAUUUUCCUUCAGCUUUCUGCUCCAAUAUUCAGGCUCGGGGAACAUACAAAAUAUACCAUCUAUUGUGACUCAGACGUGCGAUCUGUAUCAAAGAAGCAAUUUGGGUGUCAAAGGCUGAGAUGAGGCCGAGCUGGGUGUUGAACUGGACCUGCCCCAUGCGACAAUCCACUCUGGUGAGGAACCCGGCGAUGAGUGCGCGCACAUGCACGACCUGCCUCUCCCACCGGCGGCGGUGCACCCGUGCGCAAGUUUACCUGUUGGCGGACACCCAGUGCACCGGCAUCUUCUGAAAUUCACCAAUCAUCAAUGUACUGAUAGCUAAGUGUUUACAAGAGUUAUCUUACACGAGUAGAGCAGAUUCCAGAUCAAAGGUAGUUAAUCCAUUAUUAUGUUCCUUCUUGUUUACUGCAAUCAAAUGUACUAAUAGGGCUUAGUUCAAUCCUGUAGAUCAGCUAUAGUUUACUGCAAGGUAUUCUUGAUGGUGCAUCACAGGAGUAUGACACCAUUCUGUGAUCACCCCUUAUUCCUUGCACUCUAAUUAUGAAAUGUGCAAGAGGAGCAAAUUCUUCAUUUAAUAUUUAUAAAUAUAUUUGUUUUCCGUUUCAUGUUGAUAAUGUUCUCUUGUUUGUAUUAUUUAAAUUGUUGGGUGUUAAACCUUAUAUAUUAGAGAAGCGGCAUACAGACUCCAAACUAUAUUAAUGCUCUGCGCCCAUAUUCUGAAGGUUGAGCCACUUCAUGGUCUUAUGAGUCUUUUCUGCUGUGUACUGGACAAAUUAUUCAUGCUUUUGUUUUGCUGAUAAAUGGUAUUUGAGUCGCGUUUCCGGAUUCCCAAUUUAGUUUUGAUAAUGACAAAGUAGAAAAGCAUAUCAACCUUGAGUUUUUUUAUGAAGGUGAGCUAAUAGACUUAUUAUAGUGCUUUCUUCAGUUCUAUAUAUCAGCUAUACUUUCAUGCAAGCUAUUCUUGAUGGUGCACCACAAGAAAAUGACAUCAUUUUGUAAGCACCCUUUCUUCCUUGCACUCUUACGUCCAUGCAUGUAAUAUACAAUGUCCAAAAGGAGCAUUCAACAUUUGAUAUUUAGAAAUUUAGUUCUCUUUCCGCAUGUUGAUAAUUCUCUCUUGUUUGUAUUAUUUAAAUCUUUGGCUGUUAAACGGUAAUAUAUUAGAGAAGCCGCAAGAUUUCCCAAAUCUGUUACUUAGUACUAAAUGCCAUGUGCAUACUGAUGUUGUGAUGUGAAAGUGUGGUAGAUAAGGUGGUGGAGCAGCUCUGUAUCAACUAUGGUACUCCUUUUGCCGAUUAUGGUUUUUCGUGAAAGAACUUGCAGAUGCUAUUCCGUUAGUUCAGACAAAAAAAACUUGUAGAGACUACUAUGCUACUCUGAGCCAUUAGCUCAGAAGAAACAACCUACAAGCUACUGUACUUCUUUGUGCCGUUAGUUCAGACAAACAUUUUAUGUUUUCCCUUCUUUUGCCACCCCGUAGGUUGUAAAUUUUAUCUUAGGUACAAUCCAUACUAGGUUAUAUAUGUAUUUAUAGCUCCCUCUCCUUUUCUAUCUUGCUGACUGAUUUAUUAAAGUUUUGGUGCAAAGGGGAUCAGAUCAGCUACCUCUUGUUUACGUGCAUUUUGUCUCAAAAAAUUCACUCCACAUGUUUAUGAGUUAAUAAGGUCUAGCUUCUUGAUAGAUUGUGUUGUAUUGGUAUGGCUUUUAAAUCAAUUUAUAGUUAUACUUGGUUGAAAAUAUAAUCUUUUCACUUUGUGUUAAAAUGAGCUAAUUUUAGUUGUUAUUGUCUUACAUGAAGGAAUUAAUGUCCAUUUUCAGUACUGAACCAACCCUCGCCAAACAACUACACUGUAGUGAAUUUGUUACUAGAUUUUGGUUACUACUUGAUAGUUUUCUUUUUGGAUUACAAGUGAGAGGCUCUGUGGAUUGUUUUCCACCAUCUUCGCCCUGCUAGCACCAGAAUAUUCUUAAAUGCUGGGGUAAUUUUCCUUUUAGCCAGAUGAAAUGUUGUAAGUUUGACUGAAAUGUUAUAAUCCCAGUGUGAUGCUCAAUAAUUGUGUAGUUUUGAUUAUUUUCUCGUAGGAGUGAAGAUGCGGAGAAAGACAUGGAGUAAUUAGCAAGUUAAUGCUCUUCUGUCGCUUGGUAUGUGGCUGUUAUGUGUAGAGUUGAAUAUUCAAUGACUAUGUGCAACUUAUGCCUUUGGUAUAUAGCUCGAAUGAGAGUUGAGAGUACUAAAGUGACUGUUGAGAGUGCCUUUUUCGUCAUUUUCUUUUGUGUUUUCUUUCCUCAUAUAUAAUUAACACGCUAAUGUGUCCAGGAUAGCUGAAAAUUGUUGUAAUACAUACUGUUCUAUUCAUUUGGAUUGCAGAGAUGUAGAAACAACCGUUUCACCCUUAAGUAGGGUGGAAUGAACAAUUUCACAUGUCAGCAGGCUGACCACCAUGCGAUUAUAAUACAACCUGCUCCACCAUGAUCUUGUGCCAGACCAGCUUGGACAAGGGGCACUCAAGCAUCAGGUGCCGCAUGGCACUUUGGUACAACAACCACUGAUAGUUGUGUUGUAAAAGGAGUUUUGAAUUGCUGACCUCAUGUUGACAAUUUUAUUGUUGUAAUGGGGAAGCACAGUUUGUUGUUUAUGCAUAA